CCAGGAAUAGCUUGUCCGUUAGAGGACAGUAGGAGAGUCUGAUCAACUCCCGAGGUCACCCGAUUACAUUUGUUGGAGGAAACAGUGACCUCUCAGGUCCCCGAACAGCCAACUUCUUCCAAGCCGUCCAUCCCAGCCCCUUCGACUUCUCUUGGGACCCCAUCCAUGCCAGCCUCCAUUGACUUGCCACCACCUCCUGUCUUGACCCCUACGGUUCCGCCGGACUCCAGCCCAAGGUGUCUCCAGUCACGGAGGAAGCGCUUCGGUUGCCCUCACAGGAAACCCCAGGUCCCAUCUAUUAUAAUCAGGACAGUCAAAUUCAGGGAGGCCAGCACACCUUCAUCUAUCAACCCUUCACCACUACCAAUCUCCUGAACUGGAAGAAUCAUACUCUCCUUCACUGAGAAGCCUCAGGUCAUAAUUGACCUCCUCCAAUUGAUUAUCCAGAUUCACAAACCCACUUGGGCCAAUUGCUGACAACUCCUCCUGACCCUUUUUAACACUGAAGAGCACUGGCACAUCACCCAGGCCGCCUUGAAAUGUUAGAGGAACAUGCUCCAGAAUGAACCUUGAAUGUGCAAACAUACGCCCAGAAUCAGUUUUCUGAGGAGGACUCCCAGUGGGACCCCAAUGAUGACAGGGAACUUCAGAUGUUAGAACGAUACCGGGAGGCUCUCCUAGGUGGUCUUAAGAAAGGCCAUGAAUAUGAGCAAGACUUCAGAAGUCCAAGGACCAGAAGAGAGUCCAGGCCAUUUCUUUGAGAGGCUUUGUGAGGCUUUCCGUCUCUACACCCCCUUUGACCCAGAAGCAACUGAGAAUCAGAGGAUGGUCAAUGCGGCUUUUGUUGGGCAGGCCCAAGGAGACGUUUGGUGCAAACUGCAAAACCUGGAAGGCUUCGCUGGCAUGAAUAUCAGCCAACUCCUUGAAGUCACAACCAUGGUCUUCAUCAGUUGCGACCAAGAACCCCACUGAGAGGCUGACUGAAAGAUGAAGAAGAAAGUUGACUUACUUAGAGCUGCUCUGGUAGAGUGGUCAGUCCAGGCUCCCUAGAAAAAGUGCCCCACAAGGUUGGGGAAAAAAACCAGUGAGGAGGUCAACCAGGGAGACCCCCCACCAUGAAAACAAGACUGGGACAAGACCAAUGUACAUACUACCAACAGCGGGGCUACUGGAAAAACGAGUGUCCCCAAUGACCAGGUGGGCUAUCAGUGGCUCCUGGUCCCCGAAGACACAGCCAAGUCAUACAAGGGUGCUAUCAGCUGACUCGCCCAUCACCAGGUUAUCCUAGGGACAACUUUGUUGGCCUUGCCACCCUGGAAGAAUUUGGAGAUGACUAAGCCAGACUGGGCUUUAUUCUGCUGGGCCCCCAGGAGCCUAUGGUCCAAAUGACAGUUGGGGGCCGACCAACUGACUUUAUAGUUGACAUUGGAGCUGAACACUCAAUUUUAACUUGGUUUGUGGUCCCCCUUUCUUAAAGACAAACUACCAUUAUGGGAGCCACCAGGGUAUGAGUCUGUUGCCCCUUUCUGCAGCCUUGUUGGUGCAACCUAGGAGGACGAGAAGUCAUCCACGAAUUCCUAUAUCUGCCUGACUGCUCUGUGGCACUGAUGAGAUGAGACCUUUUAGGAAAACUACAGGCUCAGAUUACCUUUGACUCAUGUGGCCAAGCAGAUCUUUGCUUGGGGGGGCCAGAAGCAAAGAUCAUGUCGAUCAUGGUUCCCCAAGGAGAAGAGUGGUGCCUCUGUAGUCUCGUAGGAGGGUCCCAACAGGAACCUGAGCUCCCUUCAAGGUGCCCAGAGUGUGGGCUGAAGACAGCACUCCAGGACUGGCCCAACACAUUCCUCCAGUGGUGGUGGAGUUAAAACCUGGAGCUGAGCCAGCCCGCCAGAAACAGUGUUUCUUCCCCCAUAAGGCACAAGUGGGGAUCCAGAAACAUUUAGAGAGACUUUUGAAGUAUGGAAUUCUGCGUCCCUGCCAAUCAUCCUGGAAUAUGCCUCUCCUGCCAGUUCAGAAGCCAGGGACCAGUGAAUACCGGUAGGUCCAAGAUUUACGAGCAGUUGACCUGCACCCUGUCGUCACCAAUUCAGAAUACUCUCUUAGGCCUCAUCCUCACUGAGGCAACCUAUUUCACCUGUCUGGACCUCAAGGUCCUUUCUUGUGCAUCUCCCUGGCUUCUCAGAGUCAGCCAAUCUUUGUCUUCCAAUGGGAAAGCCCUGAAAGCGGAGACAGGGCCAGCUGACAUGGACACGUCUGCCUCAGGGGUUCAAGAUCUCCCCGACCAUCUUUGGGACAGCUCUAGCCUUGGACUUAAAGGCUAUUCCGGCAGACCAGCACAGCUUUACAUUACUCCAGUAUGUAGAUGACCUCCUCUUAGCAAGAAAAACCUGUGGGGAAUGCAUGGAAGGAACACAUCUACUCCUCAAUCUCCUCUGGGAAGCGGGUUACAAGGUCUCUAAAAGGAAAGUUCAAAUCUGCCAAGAAAGAGUUAAGUACCUCAGCUUCCACCUGUCAUAGGGACAAUGUCAACUUGGCCUGGAAAGGAAACAAACAGUCACCUCGAUUCCCAUCCCUACCACCUGGCGACAAGUCCGCGAAUUCCUCGGAGCAGCUGGUUUCUGCAGAAUCUGACUACCUAAUUUCUCCAUUCUGGCCAAACCCCUCUAUGAAGCCACAAAGCAGGGAGAAUGGGAGCCUCUGCUCUGGGAACCUACACAACAGAAGGCCUUUGAUGAAAUUGAACGGGUGCUCAUUAACGCCCCCGGACUAGGACUCCCAGACUUAACCAAAUCUUUCUUGCUGUACGUACAUGAGUGCACAGAUGUCACAGUAGGGGUCGUAACCCAACUGCUAGGAUCUUAGUACCGUCUUGUGUCUUAUCUCUUCAGACAGCUUGAUUCUGUCACCCAGGGCUGGCCACCUUAUCUGUGAGCACUCGCAGCAGCCACUUCUCUUGUGUCAGAAGCAGACAAGUUGACUCUAGGACAAGCAGUGACAAUCCGGGUCCCCCAUUCUGUCCUGGCCUUAUUAAAAUAUAAAGGACGCUAUGAGCUCACCAAUGCCUGGAUGGCCAAAUACCAAGGAAUGCUGUGUGAGAACCCCAAAUCUGGGCACCUUACUGCCAGUGGGACCUGAACAACCAGAUCCUGACUGUAUUGAAGUCAUAGACGAGGUUUUUUCUAGCCGCCAGACUUAACUGACCAACCCCUCAAAAGCCCUAAUGUGGAAUACCACACUGAUGGCAGCAGCUUCGUCACAGGAAAUAAGCAUCUCACCGGGUAUGAAGUAAUAACCUUGCAUUCUACUAUUGAGACAAAGUCUUUGCCUCAAGGAACCUCAGCACAGAAGGCAAGAGUUCAUCGCUUUGACCUACGCCCUUCAGCUGGCAGCAGGAGUGUGUGCAAACAUAUACACUGACUCUAAGUAUGCCUUCACCACCCUCCAUGCAAAUGGAGCCCUAUACAAAGAGAUGGGUCUAAUCAAUUCAGGGGGGAAAGACAUAAAAUAUAGAAAGGAAAUUCUAGAACUCUUAGAUGCUUUGUGGGCCCCCAAGCAGGUAGCAGUCAUGCUCUGCAGGGGACACCAAAAGGGGGACGCCAUAAUGGCCUGGGGCAACUGCAGGGCAGACCACGUUGCCAAACUGGCAGCGGCCAAGGAGAUGGCCAGCCCUACGACUCUUAACUGCUCCCAUUUCCCAGUCCCUUAGCCAAAUGGGACCCCAAGUACUCGCCUCAAGAAAAAGCUUGGUUUAAGACCGAGAGGGGAGCCUCCUCCCUGGUGGAUGGUGGCAGUUCAAGGACAGGCAAAUUGUAGUCCCUGGGACCCUAGCCCCAGCUUUUGUCAUGCAGUUUUACCAAAGGUUCCUCUGCCCUAGAAACCACUCUGGGCCGGUACUUCUACAUCCCCCAGCUCUCCAGCAUCUUCCGAGCAGUGUGUGAACGAUGCAAAGUCUGUAUCCACAACAACCCCAGGCAAGGGCCAUAUGCCCCACCAGGAGUCCAAAGUGUCAGUGGCACCCGCUUUGAAGAACUCAAAGUAGACUUCAGUGAAAUGCCUCGAUCAUGCGCCUCAAGUAUCUCUUGCUCUUUGUGUGCUCCCAUUCCAGUUGGGUAGUAUUAUCUCAUCCAGACUGAGAAGGCCCGAGAAGUAGCCAGACCGUUUGUCUGAGAAAUUGUUCCACGAUUUGGCCUACCAAUUACCAUUGGCUCAGAUAACAGGCCAGCCUUUGUAGCAGAAAUAAUGCAGCUACUAGCCAAAAAUUUAAAUAUUAAAUGGAAAUUGCAUACUGCCUAUUGACUACAGAGUUUGGGACAGGUGGAACGCAUGAACAGGACCCUUAAGACUCAGUUGAGAAAACUAUGUCAGGAGACACAUGUACACUGCGACGAAGUCCUCCCCAUGGCACUAUUAAGAAUCAAGUUGGCCCCAACCAAGAAGACUGCGUUCUCCCCCUAUGAGAUCCUUUAUGGGUGGCCACCACCACUCAUAAAAGGACUACGAGGAGACCUCAAGGAAAUCAGUGAAUUGACUCUGAAACAACAGCUUCAGGCCCUAGGGACCACCUUCCAGACUCUCAACCAAUGGCUUAGGGAAAGGCUCCCUGUCAGUUUAACCAUUGAACUUCAUCCCUUUAAGCCAGGAGACUCUUUCUGAGUAAAAGAGUGGAACAUUCAACCCCUAAAACUCCUGUGGAGAGGCCCCUUUACCGUCAUUGUGUCUACCCCCACUGCAGUUAAGGUUGCCGAAAUAACGCCCAGGAUACAUCGCAGCAGACUUAAACCCGCAGCUGCAGAGUGAGAAUGUGUUCCAGACUCCUCCUAGCCUCUUAAGGCAACCCUCGAGAAGAAAACACUGACUGCACCGACAAACCAAGGGUAAGACAUUGGCCCUGCUUUGGUCACACCAGAAGCUGACCAAUCUACACAUGGCAGAAGCCUGAGGACAUCUCAUCAGGAUGGCACCCCUAAAGACUCUUUUCUUUCUCCUCCUACUCUGCCACAUGUGUGGCACCAGUCUCCCAACUUCUUCCCCUUGUACUCAUUGCAUGCAGAAGUAUAGGUUAGGGUCCAACAUUGCUACAGGCUUCACUUCCAUAACCGGCCUACCUGAAGGGUGUGCCCUAAACGCCACGCUCUGCACUCAUUGGGGAUUCCAAUAUUGGAUGGGUUACAUAAAGAUUAAAUCUGAGAGUGGCCAAUCCUGCCAAGAGCCUGAAAAAUUAGGGGAAACUUGGUCAUGUUGGCAAUGGACCUCAAGUGGGAGAAAGAUCCAUAACCAUGCAGAGGGUCCAGCAGUCGGAGAAAUUGUCCGGUGGCUACAUAGUCCAACCGCACCUAAGCCUACACCAUCUCCAAGGCCCCAAAGCCCACAAAUGUAUGAUCAACUAAAGGCCACCUUAGGCCAAAACUUAGACCUCCUUUAUAGAGACUAUAGUAGAAAGGAAAACUACAACAAAAGCCCUCGUGCUAUGGAAGUACCAGCCCCUAAACCAAGAACUGGAAGAAAGAGAUGAUGCUCUCUAACCCAGUCCUGGGUCCAAGCAUCAAAGUGGGGAAUGUGGCGAUCUGAUCCUGCCUGACCAUUUCUUGCUCGAACAAAUUAGUUCCUGAUCACUGCCCCCCACCCCGCCCCCGCCAUGACUCUCUGGUUUGGCAACCAAUCAAUGUUCUCUUUCCUUAUAUGAACUAUCUGUAGCUGUGUAGGCAUGUGGAAGUACGAGACUGUAUAAAACUACCUGCCAUGUUACCAUCGGGGCUCAGCCUUUGGAUGAGAAUCCACUGAGCCGGUUCCAGCAUCAAUAAAGGCUGCUUCCUGCUUAUA